UAGACAUAGAGAAAUAAAAAGAAGAAGCAGAAAAGUUGAAUGGAAUUUAUUAAGGUAAAAAAUGAAGAAGAAAUAAAACUCCAUUUGUGUAAUAUAAACACAGUU
rnacentral:misc_RNA from 1 species